UACAGAGGGUGCUAGCGUUGUUCGGAAUCACUGGGCGUAAAGAGCAUGUAGGCGGCUUAGCAAGUCAGAUGUGAAAUCCCGGAGCUUAACUCCGGAACUGCAUUUGAAACUGCUAGGCUAGAGUAAAGUAGAGGUUGGCGGAAUUCCUAGUGUAGAGGUGAAAUUCGUAGAUAUUAGGAAGAACACCGGUGGCGAAGGCGGCCAACUGGGCUUUUACUGACGCUAAAGUGCGAAAGCGUGGGGAGCAAACAGG
rnacentral:rRNA from 1 species